rnacentral:rRNA from 1 species
UACGUAGGGGGCAAGCGUUGUCCGGAAUCAUUGGGCGUAAAGCGCGUGUAGGCGGCUUGAUAAGUCUGCUCUGAAAGCCCGGGGCUCAACCCCGGGUCGGCCGUGGCAACUGUCGAGCUGGAGCACUGUAGAGGCAGGUGGAAUUCCGGGUGUAGCGGUGGAAUGCGUAGAGAUCCGGAAGAACACCGGUGGCGAAGGCGGCCUGCUGGGCAGUGGCUGACGCUGAGGCGCGACAGCGUGGGGAGCAAACAGG